rnacentral:rRNA from 1 species
UACGUAGGGGGCAAGCGUUUGUCCGGAUUUAUUGGGCGUAAAGAGCGUGUAGGCGGCCAGAUAGGUCAGCUGUGAAAACUCGAGGCUCAACCUCGAGACGUCGGUUGAAACCAUCUGGCUAGAGUUCGGUAGGGGAGACUGGAAUUCCUGGUGUAGCGGUGAAAUGCGCAGAUAUCAGGAGGAACACCGGUGGCGAAGGCGGGUCUCUGGGCCGAUACUGACGCUGAGGAGCGAAAGCGUGGGGAGCGAACAGG